UACGUACGAGGCGAGCGUUAUCCGGAAUUACUGGGCGUAAAGCGCGCGCAGGUGGUUUGUUAAGUGAGACGUGAAAUCUCCCGGCCUAACUGGGAGGGGUCGUUUCAAACUGGGAGACUUGAGGACUGCAGAGGUGGGUGGAAUUCCUGGUGUAGUGGUGAAAUGCGUAGAGAUCAGGAGGAACACCUGUGGCGAAAGCGGCUCACUGGACCACAACUGACGCUGAGGCGCGAAAGCGUGGGUAGCAAACAGG
rnacentral:rRNA from 1 species